UAUAAAGACAAUAUCUUCACCCACACAAGAACAAGUUAUAAACCUAAGCCGGUACAGUAUUCCAUUUCUUCUCACAGUAUUUCUAUCAUCUGAAAUACCAUUUAACCCUGGAAUACAACUAAGGUCAGGAGUGCGGGCAAACUGAUUUGUCUGGGUCUUUGAGUUUUCCACUUACUGGGGCUAAAAGGUUACUGCUAGAGAGCCUACUUGGAAUAAAGAAAAGCUUCAAAUCCAUCGACUCCGUCACUGUCCCUUCUUCGUUUUCUGUUGUUGUGGAUAUUGAAGCGCUGGUUCAUUUGAGGC